rnacentral:rRNA from 1 species
AACGAACGCUGGCGGCGUGCUUAACACAUGCAAGUCGAACGGAACGGCCCUGCUUUUGUGCGGUGCUCGGGUGGCGACCGGGUGAGUAACACGUGAGUAACCUGCCCUUGCCUUUGGGAUAACUUCAGAAAACUGAGGCUAAUACCGGCUAGGAGCUCCUGCUGCAUGGUGGGGGUGGGUAAGUUUCGGCGGUUGGGGAUGGACUGGCGGCUUAUCAGCUUGUUGGUGGGGUAGUGGCUGACCAAGGCUUGGACGGGUAGCAGGGCUGAGAGGGUGACAGGACCAGUUGGGAUGGGGAUACGGCCCAGACUCGUACGGGAGGGAGCAGUGGGGAAGAGUGUACAAGGGGCGGAAGGCUGAUGCAGCAAAGCAGCGUGGGGGAUGUCGGCAAUGGGGUAGUAAUGCGAUGUUGUCUGUGACGAAGCGAUAGUGACGGUAAUGGGUAAAGAAGCACCGGCUAACUACGUG